UGGGGAAUAUUGGACAAUGGGGGCAACCCUGAUCCAGCAAUGCCGCGUGUGUGAAGAAGGCCUGCGGGUUGUAAAGCACUUUCAGUAGAGAAGAAAAGCUCACGGUUAAUACCCGCUGAGUCUUGACGUAACCUACAGAAGAAGCACCGGCUAACUCCGUGCCAGCAGCCGCGGUAAUACGGAGGGUGCAAGCGUUAAUCGGAAUUACUGGGCGUAAAGCGCGCGCAGGCGGUUUGGUAAGUCGGAUGUGAAAGCCCAGGGCUUAACCUUGGAAUUGCAUUCGAUACUGCUUAACUAGAGUACGGUAGAGGGAAGUGGAAUUUCCGGUGUAGCGGUGAAAUGCGUAGAUAUCGGAAGGAACACCAGUGGCGAAGGCGACUUCCUGGGCCAGUACUGACGCUGAGGUGCGAAAGCGUGGGGAGCAAACA
rnacentral:rRNA from 1 species